GCCUGUCUGGCUCAGUUGCCAGAGUAUGUGACUCUUAAUCUUGAGGUCAUGGGUUCAAGCCCCAUGCCAGGUG
rnacentral:tRNA from 1 species